GGGCCCGGAGGGUCUUCGGGUGGGCGGGUCUCAGGUGCCGGGGCGGCGGAGGGGGUCGACGACGACGCCGGGGUUGAGGAUUCCCGCCGGGUCCA
rnacentral:tRNA from 1 species